rnacentral:rRNA from 1 species
GCGCAGCAGGCGAGAAUUUUUCUCAAUGGGGGCAACCCUGAAGGAGCGACGCCGCGUGGAGGAUGAAGGCUUUCGGGUCGUAAACUCCUGUCAUUUGAGAACAAGUGCCAACACCUAACUACUGUUGGCUUGAUAGUAUCAGAAGAGGAAGGGACGGCUAACUCUGUGCCAGCAGCCGCGGUAAUACAGAGGUCCCAAGCGUUGUUCGGAUUCAUUGGGCGUAAAGGGUGCGUAGGUGGCGCCGUAAGUGGGGUGUGAAAUUCCGGAGCUUAACUCCGAAACUGCAUUCCAUACUGCGGUGCUUGAGGACUGGAGAGGAGACUGGAAUUUACGGUGUAGCAGUGAAAUGCGUAGAGAUCGUAAGGAAGACCAGUGGCGAAGGCGGGUCUACGUGGACAGUUCCUGACACUGAGGCACGAAGGCCAGGGGAGCGAACGGGAUUAG